GGCGAUGUAGCUCACCGGUAGAGCAAUCGACUCAGACUCGAUCGGAAGAAGGUUCGAUUCCUUCCAUCACCU
rnacentral:tRNA from 1 species